UCCGGCUUGUCGCCGGCGGUCCCUCUAGAGUGCUUCAAACUCUCGUUCGAGUGGCAACAGGACACAGGGGUUGCGCUCGUUGCGGGACUUAACCCAACAUCUCACGACACGAGCUGACGACGGCCAUGCAGCACCUGUGCAAGCUCCCCUUGCGGGGUCGUCCCACUUUCAUGGUUCUACCACUUGCAUGUCAAGGCCAGGUAAGGUUCUUCGCGUUGCAUCGAAUUAAGCCACAUACUCCACCGCUUGUGCAGGCCCCCGUCAAUUUCUUUGAGUUUUAAUCUUGCGACCGUACUCCCCAGGCGGCAUGUUUAUCGCGUUAGCUUCGCCACAAGAGGGGUCGAUUCCUCUUACAGCAAACAUGCACCGUUUAGGGCUAGGACUAC
rnacentral:misc_RNA from 1 species